UGCAGUCGAACGAUGAAGCUUCUAGCUUGCUAGAAGUGGAUUAGUGGCGCACGGGUGAGUAAGGUAUAGUUAAUCUGCCCUACACAAGAGGACAACAGUUGGAAACGACUGCUAAUACUCUAUACUCCUGCUUAACACAAGUUGAGUAGGGAAAGUUUUUCGGUGUAGGAUGAGACUAUAUAGUAUCAGCUAGUUGGUAAGGUAAUGGCUUACCAAGGCUAUGACGCUUAACUGGUCUGAGAGGAUGAUCAGUCACACUGGAACUGAGACACGGUCCAGACUCCUACGGGAGGCAGCAGUAGGGAAUAUUGCGCAAUGGGGGAAACCCUGACGCAGCAACGCCGCGUGGAGGAUGACACUUUUCGGAGCGUAAACUCCUUUUCUUAGGGAAGAAUUCUGACGGUACCUAAGGAAUAAGCACCGGCUAACUCCGUGCCAGCAGCCGCGGUAAUACGGAGGGUGCAAGCGUUACUCGGAAUCACUGGGCGUAAAGGGCGCGUAGGCGGAUUAUCAAGUCUCUUGUGAAAUCUAAUGGCUUAACCAUUAAACUGCUUGGGAAACUGAUAGUCUAGAGUGAGGGAGAGGCAGAUGGAAUUGGUGGUGUAGGGGUAAAAUCCGUAGAUAUCACCAAGAAUACCCAUUGCGAAGGCGAUCUGCUGGAACUCAACUGACGCUAAGGCGCGAAAGCGUGGGGAGCAAACAGGAUUAGAUACCCUGGUAGUCCACGCCCUAAACGAUGUACACUAGUUGUUGGGGUGCUAGUCAUCUCAGUAAUGCAGCUAACGCAUUAAGUGUACCGCCUGGGGAGUACGGUCGCAAGAUUAAAACUCAAAGGAAUAGACGGGGACCCGCACAAGCGGUGGAGCAUGUGGUUUAAUUCGAAGAUACGCGAAGAACCUUACCUGGGCUUGAUAUCCUAAGAACCUUUUAGAGAUAAGAGGGUGCUAGCUUGCUAGAACUUAGAGACAGGUGCUGCACGGCUGUCGUCAGCUCGUGUCGUGAGAUGUUGGGUUAAGUCCCGCAACGAGCGCAACCCACGUAUUUAGUUGCUAACGGUUCGGCCGAGCACUCUAAAUAGACUGCCUUCGUAAGGAGGAGGAAGGUGUGGACGACGUCAAGUCAUCAUGGCCCUUAUGCCCAGGGCGACACACGUGCUACAAUGGCAUAUACAAUGAGACGCAAUACCGCGAGGUGGAGCAAAUCUAUAAAAUAUGUCCCAGUUCGGAUUGUUCUCUGCAACUCGAGAGCAUGAAGCCGGAAUCGCUAGUAAUCGUAGAUCAGCCAUGCUACGGUGAAUACGUUCCCGGGUCUUGUACUCACCGCCCGUCACACCAUGGGAGUUGAUUUCACUCGAAGCCGGAAUACUAAACUAGUUACCGUCCACAGUGGAAUCAGCGACUGG
rnacentral:rRNA from 1 species